UACGAAGGGGGCUAGCGUUGUUCGGAAUUACUGGGCGUAAAGGGCGCGUAGGCGGCCCUCCAAGUCAGAUGUGAAAGCCCCGGGCUUAACCUGGGAAUUGCAUUUGAGACUGAAGGGCUUGAGUUUCGGAGAGGUGGGUGGAAUUCCCAGUGUAGAGGUGAAAUUCGUAGAUAUUGGGAAGAACACCGGUGGCGAAGGCGGCCCACUGGACGGAACACUGACGCUGAGGCGCGAAGACGUGGGGAGCAAACAGG
rnacentral:rRNA from 1 species